rnacentral:misc_RNA from 1 species
GAUGAAGAACGCAGCGAAAUGCGAUAAGUAAUGUGAAUUGCAGAAUUCAGUGAAUCAUCGAAUCUUUGAACGCACCUUGCGCCCUUUGGCCAUUCCGAAGGGCAUGCCUGUUUGAGUAUCAUGAACACCUCAACUCUUUAUGGUUUUCCAUGAUGAGCUUGGACUCUGGGGGUUUUGCUGGCUCACAGUCGGCUCCUCUAAAAUAAAUCAGCUUACCAGUGUUUGGUGGGUAUCAUGGGUGUGAUAACUAUCUACGCUUGUGGUUUUUCCACCAGGUAACCUUCAGCAGUGGAGGUUCGCUGGAGCUCAUAGACGUCUCUCCUCAGUGAGGACAGCACUUUGAACGUUUGAUCUCAAAUCAGGUAGGACUACCCGCUGAACUUAAGCAUAUCAAUAAUCGGAGGA